rnacentral:rRNA from 1 species
UACGUAGGUGGCAAGCGUUACUCGGAAUUACUAGGCGUAAAGGGCAGGUAGGUGGUUUGGUAAGUCUGUUGUGAAAGCUCCUGGCUUAACUGGGAGAGGUCAACGGAUACUGCCGGACUUGAGUCCGGGAGAGGUGAGUGGAACUCCGAGUGUAGAGGUGAAAUUCGUAGAUAUUCGGAAGAACACCAGUGGCGAAGGCGGCUCACUGGCCCGGUACUGACGCUGAGAUACGAAAGCGUGGGGAGCAAACAGG